GGCCCGUUCGUCUAGUGGCUAGGACACCUGGUUCUCAUCCAGGCAACAGGGGUUCGAUUCCCCUACGGGCUACAA
rnacentral:tRNA from 1 species